CCGCACAGCUCCAAUCCCUCCCUCGCCAUUCGCCAAUCAUCAUCUGUAAACACCUUCGGACCUUCGCCACAGCCACCGCCGACGCCACCGCCGACGCCAUCCCCACCGCCACAGCCACAGCUUAAUCUCCACCGCCACUCUUGACACCGCCUCUCCCUUCUCCCCUCUGCCACUUUGCGCUCUGCAUUCUCCAGUCCGCCUCUGCCUAUACAGUCCGCCUUCACCACCGCCUCCGCCUCUACAGACGCAGUCUGCCAGCCGGUCUCGCCACGCAGUCUGCCAGCCGGUCUCGCCACGCAGUCACGCCCGUCGCCGAACUCGCCUCUCGCACUCUCGGUUAGCGCCUCCAGCCCUCCAGAGUCCUAUCUCGCCCUCUUGUUCUGGCAUAGUCUGAAAGAAGUUCUAGAUGCCCCCAAUGUAAUGAAUAUGAUUAAAGAUACAGAAGCUGCAAAAGAGGUACGAGUCCUCAAGGAUUUCUUCAACAUGCUUUCAAAUGUUAGAGUCCAGGUUGCAAAAUUUCAAGACUCAAAGUAUUCAUAGCCUCCCAGUAAUUGUUCCUGUAAUAGUCAGGACUGUCAACUGCGGCCAGAGCUGGGAUAUCUGUAGCAGCAAUAGUAGGAGUAUUUUUAUUGGCAUUGUAAAUUAUUAUUAUUAUUAUUAUUAUUAUUUUUUGAAAACGACAUUGUAAAUUAUUGAUUAUUUGUAGGAGUAUUUUUAUUGGCAUUGU